rnacentral:rRNA from 1 species
CGGGAAAAGCUCAAAUUUAAAAUCUGGCGGUCUUUGGCNGUCCGAGUUGUAGUCUGGAGAAGUGCUUUCCGCGCUGGACCGUGUAUAAGUCUCCUGGAACGGAGCGUCAUAGAGGGUGAGAAUCCCGUCUUUGACACGGACUACCAGUGCUCUGUGAUGCGCUCUCAAAGAGUCGAGUUGUUUGGGAAUGCAGCUCAAAAUGGGUGGUGAAUUCCAUCUAAAGCUAAAUAUUGGCGAGAGACCGAUAGCGAACAAGUACCCUGGAGGAAAAGAUGAAAAAGCACUUUGGAAAGAGAGUUAAACAGUACGUGAAAUUGCUGAAAGGGAAACGCUUGAAGUCAGUCGCGUCGGCCGGAACUCAGCCUUGCUUUUGCUUGGUGUACUUUCCGGUUGACGGGCCAGCAUCGAUUUUGACCGUUGGAAAAAGGCAGGGGGAAUGUGGCACCUUCGGGUGUGUUAUAGCCCCUUGUUGCAUACAACGGUUGGGAUCGAGGAACGCAGCACGCCUUAUGGCUGGGGUUCGCCCACAUUCGUGCUUAGGAUGCUGGCGUAAUGGCUUUAAACGACCCGUCUUGAAACACGGACCAAGGAGUCUAACAUGCCUGCGAGUGUUUGGGUGGAAAACCCGAGCGCGUAAUGAAAGUGAAGAUCGGGACUUCUGUCAUGGAAGGCACCGAUGCCCGGACCUGACGUUCUCUGACGGCUCCGCGGUAGAGCAUGUAUGUUGGGACCCGAAAGAUGGUGAACUAUGCCUGAAUAGGGUGAAGCCAGAGGAAACUCUGGUGGNNNCUCGUAGCGAUUCUGACGUGCAAAUC